CUCCAUCUCUCUAGAACCUUCUGGUUCUUCUCUGAUCAUCUUCAUUGCUCUCCGGCCAUCUCCAUCCUCAGUUCUCUCGACCACCAGUCUCCACGGAGCCUUGUCUCGUUGAUCUUAUCUAAGUUUUAAGGCUCCUGAGAUUUCCACCAUGCGAUAUGGUAGAAGCUUGCUUGGCUUAUCUCCGGCCUCCUCUCCGAUGGUUUUUAGUCCAAUGGUACUUUGUACGCCAUUACUAACGAGUUUUACAGUCAGGUUUCUUACCUCACUGAGUUAUUGAAAAACCCUAAUUUUUUGCCUAAAUCUCUUAAUCUUUGUCAUUUUUAAAAUGAUUUUCAGCUUAUUCAUUGUGUUUUACACUGCUCACUAUUCGAUUUCAUCGAUUAAUUCAAGUUUUUCAACAUUCUAUUCUUCUUUUCUAAACUAGGGUUCCUGCGCCCCCUUUCAAAAUCACUAUCUCUUCUGCUUGUUUUUGAGUAUUAUGUGAUUGUGCAUGUAUUAUAUGUUUAUGUUUGUGUUAUGAGCUUGUUUGUUUUCUUGUUAAUCCGAGUUCCAUGCUUUAUGUUUUACUAGGGUUCCAGUCUUCUACUGAACCUGUGAUUUUCCUGCUUAGGGCUCUCUGAUUCUUACGCCUAUUGUGUUUUAUAGGUCUAACUGUUAUUCUACUGAUUUUUGUGCAUCUCUUCAAAUCCCUGAUUUGUAUGUGUUUUGCUUAGAAGUUCUUACACUGAUUUUUGAAUUAUUUUCUUACUUGUGAAAUGCUCUCUAUUCUUAACACUAAUUCCCUCUGAUUUUAGUCUCAUCCGUGAUUCUUUGACUAAUUUUCAGAGUUAAUUUAUAUUUUUACCAUAUUUGUGCUCUUUAAUAUAUAUUUCAAAUAUUCUUUAUAUGCUUUCCAUACAUGAAGCAUUAUGUAUCUAGCCCUUAUUACAUACUACAUGCCUUACUACUCUUACUAUGGUAUAAUGAGUCGUCUAAUUGAUUUUUUCCUUUAUCUGAUAUAACAUGUACUCCCAUUCAUAUCAUGAAUCCCUAUUUAAAAUGAAUUAGGUCUUGUGAUUGAUUCCAAUUUGUAUUAUUUGCAUAAUUAUGUACUUGUUACCCUAUUCUCUAUUGGUUUUCAAAAUUAUAAAUACUCUACCCUCUCUUUAGCAUAACACACAAACAUAAUUCAUUAUUCUGAACUCUCUCUUAUACAAAAACAUACUCAGUGUUCUCUCUUGCUUCUACAUAACCUCUCCCACUUCCCUUGUGACUACUGGUUACUCAAUUGGUUUGAAACCCAGGUUGAGCUUUAGGCCACUUUACUAUUCUAUUGCUCUCUACAUUGCUACUUUCUUGGUUCUACCUACUUGCUGCUCACUUCUCUGCUAUUGCUGCUCACUUCUCUGCUAUUGCUGUUCACUUCACUAAUAUUGCUGCUCACUUCUCUGCAUACUAUUCCUCACUCCUCUGCAUAUUGUUGUUCACUAUUACUAUAUGUUACUGCAUCCUCAACUAAUAUGCCCUCCAUGUGUUUUACAACUCUUAAAACAACAUGCGUUUAUACCUGCUGCACUUCAUUCUAGUUCUUAUAUGCUUUUACUUAGGGUUCUCUUGUUCUUACAGCAAUUAGCAUGCCUCUAUGUUAAUUGAUAUGCCUAUAUUAAUCUAGCAUGCCCAUUACUCUCCUUAUUUGUCUCACGCGUGUUUCUCCUUAUCCCUUAUCCCCAGGACAAUUAUCAGCAUGUAGUCCUGAUCUCUCUGGUUGAAACAUGCUUGAUUGUUUAAGUUCUGAAGUGCUUCUCUUUGAUGUCUGUGUAUAUGUAAUUGUGUUCUCCCUUAGGAGUUACUUGUCCCCAUUCCCCUUUCCCCUGUUUGUGUUUGUAUUCGAUGAAGCCUAUGGGAUCCUCUAACCUGAUAUUGUCUCUUCUGCUGUUUUCUUUCAAAAUUGAUUAUAUAUGGACAUCUUUAACUGUUUUCUCUUUUUAAAUUCAAUUGCUUUAGAAGAACCCUAUCACCCCUUCUGUUGUUUUCUUUCAAGAGUGGUUCUCCAUGGACCUUCUUUUAACUAUUUUUCAACUCAAUCUCUUUAAAACUCUAUCACAAUCUCAAUAGUCCUAGAAUUUAAGUUCUACCCCCUUUGUGUAAGCAUUGCUUUGGAUACCUUGAGUACCCACUGAACUUUUAUGCAGAAUGCAGGUAAUUUCACGCUUGCACUUGUUCAAUAUAACUUGUUUGGGUGCCUGGGAUUGGCCAAGGGCCUCAACGGUUAGGAAGCUUUGCCGCACCCCAAACCUUGGCAAAAGGCUGUAAAACUCGAAAGACGUGAGGUUGAGAUUUGGGCCUAGUUGAAGACUCCAUAUAGAAUAACUUCUUAUUUUUCACAUCUUCAUUACUGUAAUUUAAUUGCCUUUGUCUGUAAUAACUUGUAAUGAACGAUUGGCGUUUAUAGUAAAAUCGGGGAGGGUUAUGCAUGCUAGUUUAAGGGUUACGGGUAGAAAACAUACUUG
rnacentral:lncRNA from 1 species